AGGAGCUGAUGUGAUUAUAAGAUGUGAUCUUGAUAUAGAGGAGAUUUACUGGUACAAACAGAAAUCACCGGAUCCUCCAGAGUCGAUCUUACGCACUUACAGUAGCACAUAUGAAGGAGCAGAAUAUGAAAACAGCAACUUCACACACAAAUACUCAGUGAAAACUAACAGUCAUCUGUUCAUCAGAAAUAUCACUGCUGAUGAUUUAGGAGUUUAUUAUUGUGUCAAAACUAGUGAACCACGAAAAUUCAGCAACGGCACCAGAAUCUACAUCACUGACUCAGUCCACAGGAAUCAGACAGAAUCACAACAGGAGACACCAUGGAGAAACCUGACCAUCACAUCUGUCCUGUUCAAUGUGCUUCUGAUCAUUGCAUUAAUAGGUUUGGUGAAGUGCUGCCUUGACGCAACCAGAAGAACUAAAAAUACUUCAGAGAAACCUCAAAGUACAACAGCAGCUCAAAACACAAAUGAUCCACAG